rnacentral:rRNA from 3 species
AGAUUAAGUUAUUAAGGGCGCACGGUGGAUGCCUUGGCACUAGAAGCCGAUGAAGGACGUUACUAACGACGAUAUGCUUUGGGGAGCUGUAAGUAAGCUUUGAUCCAGAGAUUUCCGAAUGGGGAAACCCAGCAUGAGUUAUGUCAUGUUAUCGAUAUGUGAAUACAUAGCAUAUCAGAAGGCACACCCGGAGAACUGAAACAUCUUAGUACCCGGAGGAAGAAAAAGAAAAUUCGAUUCCCUUAGUAGCGGCGAGCGAAACGGGAAGAGCCCAAACCAACAAGCUUGCUUGUUGGGGUUGUAGGACACUCUAUACGGAGUUACAAAGGACGACAUUAGACGAAUCAUCUGGAAAGAUGAAUCAAAGAAGGUAAUAAUCCUGUAGUCGAAAAUGUUGUCUCUCUUGAGUGGAUCCUGAGUACGACGGAACACGUGAAAUUCCGUCGGAAUCUGGGAGGACCAUCUCCUAAGGCUAAAUACUCUCUAGUGACCGAUAGUGAACCAGUACCGUGAGGGAAAGGUG